AUACGGAGGAUCCGAGCGUUAUCCGGAUUUAUUGGGUUUAAAGGGAGCGUAGGUGGGAUAUUAAGUCAGCUGUGAAAGUUUGGGGCUCAACCUUAAAAUUGCAGUUGAUACUGGUUUCCUUGAGUACGGUACAGGUGGGCGGAAUUCGAGGUGUAGCGGUGAAAUGCUUAGAUAUCACGAAGAACUCCGAUUGCGAAGGCAGCUCACUAGACUGUUACUGACACUGAUGCUCGAAAGUGUGGGUAUCAAACAGGAUUAGAUACCCUGGUAGUCCACACAGUAAACGAUGAAUACUCGCUGUUUGCGAUAUACAGUAAGCGGCCAAGCGAAAGCAUUAAGUAUUCCACCUGGGGAGUACGCCGGCAACGGUGAAACUCAAAUGAAUUGGCGGGG
rnacentral:rRNA from 1 species